CCCGGUGAGUAUAAUCUUAAACGGCCGCAGUUAGAAGCUGUGCUAAGGUAGCGUAAUAAUUUGUCCUUUAAUUAAGGAAAGGCAUGAAUGGUUUGACGUAAGGGCUUCUGUCUCUGGGGCAUUUUAAAAAGUUUUCUUCCCGGUGAAAAGGCUGGGGAAGUAAUAAAAGACGAGAAGUCCCUGUCGAGCUUAAUUAUUCUCUUGUACUGAAACAUUGAGAAAAAAUUUGGUUGGGGCAACUAAGGAGCAAAAAAAGACUCCUUUAAUGGUCAUAGAGCCAAAAAGUUUGAUAACAGGAAAAAGCUACCGCAGGGAUAACAGCGUUAUCUUCCUUGAGAGAACAAAUUGAAGGGGAG
rnacentral:rRNA from 1 species